rnacentral:rRNA from 1 species
UACAGAGACUGCAAGCGUUAUUCGGAUUCACUGGGCGUAAAGGGUGCGCAGGCGGUGAUGUAAGACAGGUGUGAAAUCCCCGGGCUUAACCUGGGAACUGCAUUUGUGACUGUAUGGCUAGAAUCUGGCAGAGGGGGGUAGAAUUCCACGUGUAGCAGUGAAAUGCGUAGAUAUGUGGAGGAAUACCGAUGGCGAAGGCAGCCCCCUGGGCUAAGAUUGACGCUCAUGCACGAAAGCGUGGGGAGCAAACAGG